rnacentral:rRNA from 1 species
GACGAACGCUGGCGGCGUGCUUAACACAUGCAAGUCGAACGGAAAGGCCCUGCUUUUGUGGGGUGCUCGAGUGGCGAACGGGUGAGUAACACGUGAGUAACCUGGCCUUGACUUUGGGAUAACUUCAGGAAACUGGGGCUAAUACCGGCUAGGAGCUCCUGCUGCAUGGUGGGGGUUGGAAAGUUUCGGCGGUUGGGGAUGGACUCGCGGCUUAUCAGCUUGUUGGUGGGGUAGUGGCUUACCAAGGCUUUGACGGGUAGCCGGCCUGAGAGGGUGACCGGCCACAUUGGGACUGCGAUACGGCCCAGACGCCUACGGGAGGCAGCAGUGGGAAAUAUUGCACAAUGGGCGGAAGCCUGAUGCAGCAACGCCGCGUGCGGGAUGACGGCCUUCGGGUUGUAAACCGCUUUCGCCUGUGACGAAGCGUGAGUGACGGUAAUGGGUAAAGAAGCACCGGCUAACUACGUG